GGUCAGAGUUCUUCAGCUGCAAGUGGAGGUGGGAGUGCUAUGAUUCGAACCCACAUUUUCAUUAGCUGUUAUCAUCAAUGCCGGAAAUGAGGGAUUAGAAUGGAGAAGUCAAGAGCAGCAAGCCACUGGGAAAGCUCAGCCUUCACAAAGAGGCCCAGGCAGAUUUCAGCCCAGAGAGUGUUGGAAGUGUUGAGCAAUCCUCAAACCCAGAAAAGCCAUUCCUAAGAACCGUCCUCUUCUAUCAAGCGUUGAUGCCAUGACAGGUGGCCCUGAGAUUGUCACCAGUUGUACCAAUCUGGAGAAGCUGAGCUGGAGAAAUUGAGGCACAGUGGGUAAAGGACUCACCAUGAGGUUCAGGGCCCGCGGACUGACACCGACAAUGAAGUUCAUGGCUCACUGAUCAAAGUCCCCAGCCGUGGUUCUGGGGAUCUGCACCAGGGAGGCGAC